CUACGGGAGGCAGCAGUGGGGAAUAUUGGACAAUGGGCGAAAGCCUGAUCCAGCCAUGCCGCGUGUCUGAAGAAGGCCUUCGGGUUGUAAAGGACUUUUGUCAGGGAGCAAAACUUACUGGUUAAUACCCGGUGAGGCUGAGAGUACCUGAAGAAUAAGCACCGGCUAACUACGUGCCAGCAGCCGCGGUAAUACGUAGGGUGCAAGCGUUAAUCGGAAUUACUGGGCGUAAAGCGUGCGCAGGCGGACUUUUAAGCCAGAUGUGAAAGCCCCGAGCUUAACUUGGGAAUUGCGUUUGGAACUGGGAGUCUAGAGUCUGUCAGAGGGGGAUGGAAUUCCACGUGUAGCAGUGAAAUGCGUAGAGAUGUGGAGGAACACCGAUGGCGAAGGCAGUCCCCUGGGAUAAGACUGACGCUCAUGCACGAAAGCGUGGGGAGCAAACAGGAUUAGAUACCCGGGUAGUCC
rnacentral:rRNA from 1 species